GAUGAACGCUGGCGGCGUGCCUAAUACAUGCAAGUCGAGCGAACAGACGAGGAGCUUGCUCCUCUGACGUUAGCGGCGGACGGGUGAGUAACACGUGGAUAACCUACCUAUAAGACUGGGAUAACUUCGGGAAACCGGGGCUAAUACCGGAUAAUAUAUUGAACCGCAUGGUUCAAUAGUGAAAGACGGAUUUGCUGUCACUUAUAGAUGGAUCCGCGCCGCAUUAGCUAGUUGGUAAGGUAACGGCUUACCAAGGCAACGAUGCGUAGCCGACCUGAGAGGGUGAUCGGCCACACUGGAACUGAGACACGGUCCAGACUCCUACGGGAGGCAGCAGUAGGGAAUCUUCCGCAAUGGGCAAAAGCCUGACGGAGCAACGCCGCGUGAGUGAUGAAGGUCUUCGGAUCGUAAAACUCUGUUAUUAGGGAAGAACAAAUGUGUAAGUAACUAUGCACGUCUUGACGGUACCUAAUCAGAAAGCCACGGCUAACUACGUG
rnacentral:rRNA from 1 species